rnacentral:misc_RNA from 1 species
AUGAGAACUAGGGGUUGCAGCUUUGGCUGCUACUCCGAACACUCCACCCUUUGUUUACAUUACCUUUGUUGCUUUAGCAGGCCCGCUUUUGGCCGCCGGCACCUGCUGGUCAGUGCCUGCUAGAGGACCUAAAACUCAUUUUAAUUUAUUGUCUGAGUACUAUAUAAUAGUUA